GGUCGGUUAGCUCAGUUGGUUAGAGCGUCGUAAGUUGUUCUCAUCCACUGUUAGAGAAAAUAUCCACUAAUGAUUAUGCCACAGGUACUAAUAAUGCGAAGGUCAUGAGUUCGACCCUCAUACUGACCA